AAUUCUGUUCUUAGGAGACCUCCUCUUCCAUGUUGCUGAAUCUGUUGGAGUCUGGGAGGGAGAGUCUGCAUUUUCCUUGGGCUCCUGCUAAUUCUGCCUCACUUUCAAAGAACAUGAAGCACCACCAUGCCAGAAUGACUGCACCCAAAUGACUUCCCAGCUGAGAUUUUUAACUAGUAACUACCUACUGAUUGCAAUCAAGCCUAGAAAAGUGGCUUGCUCCACCAGCAUCUUCCUUCACUGUUUGAAACAAAUCCCCCGAGCACUUGAACAGUCUGGCAUACUGUCUGUUCCUGCUCUACUCUUUUUCUAAUGCUUCUAAUGCCAGAUGAAUAUUGCUGCUUUCUGCCAGCCACAGUUCUGCCCCUUUGCUGCCUCUGGUUUUGUCACCUUGCCAACCAGCAGGUUGUUUUACCAAUCCAGAGAAAGGCACCACAGGUGGGCAGCUUCCCCAGAAGCUGUGAUCCUGCAGAUCCUGUGAUGCUAUCAGUUGCAUUUACAAAAAGUCUGAUAUAUAUAUAUUUUUGCCCUUUUCAUUCACAGUUUAAUUUUUUCCCAUAGCAUUUUAAUAUGAACAAUUAUCUUUAUCUGAGA